rnacentral:rRNA from 1 species
GAUGAACGCUGGCGGCGUGCUUAACACAUGCAAGUCGAACGAUGAAAGCGGGAGCUUGCUCCUGCUGGAUUAGUGGCGAACGGGUGAGUAACACGUGAGCAAUCUGCCCCGAACUCUGGGAUAAGCGUUGGAAACGACGUCUAAUACCGGAUACGACGCGCGAAGGCAUCUUCUGCGCGUGGAAAGAACUUCGGUUCGGGAUGAGCUCGCGGCCUAUCAGCUAGUUGGUGAGGUAACGGCCCACCAAGGCGACGACGGGUAGCCGGCCUGAGAGGGUGACCCCCCACAAUGGAACUGAAACACGGUCCAUACACCUACGGGUGGCAGCAGUAGGGAAUAUUGCACAAUGGGCGAAAGCCUGAUGCAGCAACGCCGCGUGUGCGAAGAAGGCCUUCGGGUCGUAAAGCACUUUUCUGGGAGAUGAGCAAGGACAGUAUCCCAGGAAUAAGUCUCGGCUAACUACGUGCCAGCCGCCGCGGUAACAC